UGCGUAAGGAUCAUUAACGAUUGUUAAAUAUUUUACUUUGAACAACUUGUUUUGUUUAAUUUAAUUUAUUUUAUCAUCAUUACAUCAUCGACCAAGUCCCACACGGCGAAGAGAACUUUACUUUUUGCGUGUGGCGGUUUUACAAAACUACUUUGUUUUGUAAAAUGACAAUAACGAUGCUUAACUGCAGUGAGUUGAGCGCUAAUUUCACGUCAUUUACGCGUUCCAGUAUUUAACUUUGACUGGGUGCUCGUUUCCAAUAUCUAUUUUAUUGGGUUGCAUUUUCCUGGAAAUGCAUCGCGAGCCGUAAGGUUGGCGUUCACUGGCACUAACGCCCAGUCAGGUCUGUCUCUCCGUUUGUUGAGACGACCGUUUUUUCUUAACUUUAAACUCUUUGAAAGCAAUUGCAAUAAAGAUAUAAUUUAACAAAUUACGAGAGAAUCACUCUGAGCGGUGGAUCACUCGGCUCGCGGAUCGAUGAAGAACGCAGCAAAGCGCGUUAGCUACUGCGAACUGCAGGAUUACUUGAGCAGCAAGAUUUUGAACGCAAAUUGCGGCUUCGGGUACUCCCGGAGUCACGUUUGCCUGAGGGUCGAAUAACACAACUAAAACACCAAUUUGUGUUGGUGGUUUAUUGAAAUGGCUUUGCCAACUACACAUUGUGUUAGUUUGCGAGCUUAAGAUAAUUCAAGUACUUGGCAACAUUGACACCGAAUGUGUUAACAAGCUAAGAAUUGUUUAAUUUAAUUAUUUUCCAACAUCGACCUCAGACAAGCGAGAUUGCCCGCUGAAUUUAA
rnacentral:rRNA from 1 species